AGAUUGAACGCUGGCGGCAUGCUUUACACAUGCAAGUCGAACGGCAGCGCGGGGCAACCUGGCGGCGAGUGGCGAACGGGUGAGUAAUAUAUCGGAACGUACCCAAGAGUGGGGGAUAACGUAGCGAAAGUUACGCUAAUACCGCAUACGAUCUAAGGAUGAAAGCAGGGGACCGCAAGGCCUUGUGCUCCUGGAGCGGCCGAUAUCUGAUUAGCUAGUUGGUAGGGUAAAGGCCUACCAAGGCUACGAUCAGUAGCUGGUCUGAGAGGACGACCAGCCACACUGGAACUGAGACACGGUCCAGACUCCUACGGGAGGCAGCAGUGGGAAUUUUGGACAAUGGGCGCAAGCCUGAUCCAGUCAAUGCCGCGUGAGUGAAGAAGGCCGUUACGGUUGUAAAGCUUCGUUUGUCUAGGGAAGUAAACGGUGGGAGACUAAUAGUCUACGUUACUAAUGUACGGUAACCUGAAGAAUAAGCACCGGACUAACUACGUG
rnacentral:rRNA from 1 species